AAGAGGUUAGUUUAAAUAGAAUGGGUAGUUUGAAACUACUUAGUAGAUGGGUGUGGUCUAUCUCUUG
rnacentral:tRNA from 1 species